rnacentral:tRNA from 1 species
AGGGAUGUAGCUCAGUGGUAGAGCACUUGCCUAGCAUGUAGGAGGCUGUGAGUUCCAUCCCCA